rfam:Dipodomys ordii contig_49616, whole genome shotgun sequence.
GGUGGCUCAGUGGUAGAGUGCUUGGCUUACAUGCAUGAGGCCCUGGGUUCGAUUCCUCAGCACCA